rnacentral:rRNA from 1 species
AGAGUUUGAUCAUGGCUCAGGGUUAACGCUGGCGGCGUGCCUAACACAUGCAAGUCGAACGGUUCUAAGCGCGAGCUUAGGAUAGUGGCGAACGGGUGAGUAAAAGGUAGGAAUCUACCCCUUGGACGGAGAUAGCUACUGGAAACGGUAGGUAAACUUCGAUAAGCCCGAGAGGGGAAAGUGGUGAGACAGCCGAGGGAUGAGCCUACUCUCCAUCAGGUAGUUGGUGAGAUAAAAGCUUACCAAGCCGAUGACGGAUAACCGGUGUGAGAGCAUGAACGGUCACAAGGGCACUGAGAGACGGGCCCUACUCCUACGGGAGGCAGCAGUGGGGAAUCUUGGACAAUGGGCGAAAGCCUGAUCCAGCGACGCCGCGUGGAGGAAGAAGUCCUUCGGGAUGUAGACUUCUGAACUAGCCGAAUAAAAGGCCUGUGGACACACAGGAGAAGAAAGUAGGCUAGGAAAAGUCCCGGCUAACUACGUGCCAGCAGCCGCGGUAAGACGUAGGGGGCAAGCGUUACCCGGAAUUACUGGGCGUAAAGGGGGCGUGGGCGGUAAAAGAAGUCAUCUGUGAAAACCUAUUGCUCAACGAUAGGCUAGCGGAUGAAACUGAAUUACUUGAGGGCACCAGAGGUAGACGGAAUUACCCGAGUAGGGGUGAAAUCCGCAGAUACGGGUAGGAACGCCGGUGGAGAAGUCGGUCUACUGGGGUGCACCAGACGCUGAGGCCCGAAAGCUAGGGGAGCAAACCGGAUUAGAUACCCGGGUAGUCCUAGCCGUAAACGAUGCUCACUAGGUGUAGGGAGUGAUAAACUCUCUGUGCUGAAGCGAACGCGCUAAGUGAGCCGCCUGGGGAGUACGUCCGCAAGGAUGAAACUCAAAGGAAUUGACGG